rnacentral:rRNA from 1 species
UACGGGGGGAGCAAGCGUUGUCCGGAAUUAUUGGGCGUAAAGGGCUCGUAGGCGGUUUGUCGCGUCGGGAGUGAAAACACUGGGCUUAACUCAGUGCUUGCUUCCGAUACGGGCAGACUAGAGGUAUUCAGGGGAGAACGGAAUUCCUGGUGUAGCGGUGAAAUGCGCAGAUAUCAGGAGGAACACCGGUGGCGAAGGCGGUUCUCUGGGAAUGUCCUGACGCUGAGGAGCGAAAGUGUGGGGAGCGAACAGG